AUUGAACGCUGGCGGCAGGCUUAACACAUGCAAGUCGAGCGGGGAAAGGUAGCUUGCUACCUGACCUAGCGGCGGACGGGUGAGUAAUGCUUAGGAAUCUGCCUAUUAGUGGGGGACAACAUCUCGAAAGGGAUGCUAAUACCGCAUACGUCCUACGGGAGAAAGCAGGGGACCUUCGGGCCUUGCGCUAAUAGAUGAGCCUAAGUCGGAUUAGCUAGUUGGUGGGGUAAAGGCCUACCAAGGCGACGAUCUGUAGCGGGUCUGAGAGGAUGAUCCGCCACACUGGGACUGAGACACGGCCCAGACUCCUACGGAAGGCAGCAGUGGGGAAUAUUGGACAAUGGGGGGAACCCUGAUCCAGCCAUGCCGCGUGUGUGAAGAAGGCCUUUUGGUUGUAAAGCACUUUAAGCGAGGAGGAGGCUACCGAGAUUAAUACUCUUGGAUAGUGGACGUUACUCGCAGAAUAAGCACCGGCUAACUCUGUG
rnacentral:rRNA from 1 species